rnacentral:tRNA from 5 species
GUGCCCGUAGCUCAAUUGGAUAGAGUAUCAGAUUCCGAUUCUGACGGUUGCAGGUUCGACCCCUGUCGGGUGCGCCA